rnacentral:rRNA from 1 species
GACGUAGGAGGCGAGCGUUAUCCGGAUUUACUGGGCGUAAAGGGCGCGUAGGCGGUCAGCACAAGUCAGUUGUGAAAUCUCCGGGCUUAACUCGGAAAGGUCAACUGAUACUGUGCGACUAGAGUGCAGAAGGGGCAACUGGAAUUCUCGGUGUAGCGGUGAAAUGCGUAGAUAUCAGGAAGAACACCCGUGGCUAAGGCGGCUCUCUAGUACGGUACUGACGCUGAGACGCGAAAGCGUGGGGAGCAAACAGG